rnacentral:rRNA from 2 species
UUGAUCCUGGCUCAGGACGAACGCUGGCGGCGUGCCUAAUACAUGCAAGUCGAGCGGACAGAAGGGAGCUUGCUCCCGGAUGUUAGCGGCGGACGGGUGAGUAACACGUGGGUAACCUGCCUGUAAGACUGGGAUAACUCCGGGAAACCGGAGCUAAUACCGGAUAGUUCCUUGAACCGCAUGGUUCAAGGAUGAAAGACGGUUUCGGCUGUCACUUACAGAUGGACCCGCGGCGCAUUAGCUAGUUGGUGGGGUAAUGGCUCACCAAGGCGACGAUGCGUAGCCGACCUGAGAGGGUGAUCGGCCACACUGGGACUGAGACACGGCCCAGACUCCUACGGGAGGCAGCAGUAGGGAAUCUUCCGCAAUGGACGAAAGUCUGACGGAGCAACGCCGCGUGAGUGAUGAAGGUUUUCGGAUCGUAAAGCUCUGUUGUUAGGGAAGAACAAGUUCGAGAGUAACUGCUCGCACCUUGACG